rnacentral:rRNA from 1 species
UACGUAGGGUGCGAGCGUUUGUCCGGAAUUACUGGGCGUAAAGAGCUCGUAGGUGGUUUGUCGCGUUGUCCGUGAAAACUCACAACUCAAUUGUGGGCGUGCGGGCGAUACGGGCAGACUGGAGUACUGCAGGGGAGACUGGAAUUCCUGGUGUAGCGGUGGAAUGCGCAGAUAUCAGGAGGAACACCGGUGGCGAAGGCGGAUCUCGUGGGCCAUUACUGACGCUGAGGAGCGAAGGCGUGGGGAGCGAACAGG